rnacentral:rRNA from 1 species
GAUGAACGCUAGCGGCGGGCUUAAUACAUGCAAGUCGAGGGGUGGUAGCAAUACUACACCGGCGCACGGGUGCGUAACGCGUAUGCAAUCUACCUUUACCUGGGGGAUAGCCCGGGGAAACCCGGAUUAAUACCGCAUAACAAAUUUCUUGGCAUCAAGAGAUUUUAAAAGAUCUAUCGGAUAGAGAUGAGCAUGCGUAAGAUUAGAUAGUUGGCGAGGUAACGGCUCACCAAGUCUACGAUCUUUAGGGGCUCUGAGAGGAGAAUCCCCCACACUGGCACUGAGAUACGGGCCAGACACCUACGGGAGGCAGCAGUAGGGAAUAUUGGGCAAUGGGCGCAAGCCUGACCCAGCCACGCCGCGUGCAGGAAGAAGGCCCUCUGGGUUGUAAACUGCUUUUGACUGGGAAGAAAAGACUCCUUGCGAGGAGAGUUGACGGUACCAGCAGAAUAAGCCACGGCUAACUACGUGCCAGCCGCCGCUGUAACAC